UAUAAGCAGUAGACCAGAAAAUGGAAAUAAUUUGGAUAAGAAAAUCUUAGGAAGAAGAUUUGAAGUUCUACAAUUUAGGAACUCUUAGGAAAUUCUUAGGAAAUCCUAAAAGAACAUUUUCAAUACAAGAACAGGCCUCACCAUACUUGCAUAUAUUGUCAGCUAUACUACAACAAUAAGAAAUGUAAUCAAAGACAGGCUUGGACUCGAACAUAAGUUUUAUGUGGUGUACUUUCAAAAUUCGCUCAGAAUAAUUAGUACUGCAUUUAAAAGAAAGAUAGGUAGGGUGAUAAUUGUAUAAAAUUCUUAGAUCCGAUUUGAACAUUAUAAAAUAAUAUAUAUUGUUUCUAAUAGAAAUGCUACUUGAGAUUAUAAAAAAAAAGAAGUCCCGCUUUGCAGAUAGAAGACGGCUCACCAGGGCUCGUAAAACCAAAAUGUACCGGGCGUCCCUCGCUUUAGUGGCCGAGAGGGGCUUGGGCCCAAGGCGCAAAAUCAUAACGGUCGGACGGAACCAUUAUCAUAACCUCCAAACAGAUAGCCGUUUAUUCCCGUCUUUUCUACGCGUAAUCCACCUUUUUUGAGGAUUUGAUGGCAGAACAUGGAUUGAAGUUAAAGGACAUUAUGAUAGAGAUAGUAAAAUGUGCUCGAGUUGAAAGCCAGAAAAGAAAGAAGUUUGAGGUAUAAGGAAUGUAUCAAUGCGUAAAUCGCAAGAAACGAAUAAAAACUUUGUAAACUUAA